GAAACUAUUGCUUUGCUGAAAACAUCUGGCUGCCAGUCUAGAAUGUGACUGUUGAGAUUCUCAAUCCACUGUGGUGAUGCUAUUUGAGAAAGAGAGAAAGAGAGAGAGAG